UACGUAGGGGGCAAGCGUUGUCCGGAUUUAUUGGGCGUAAAGAGCUCGUAGGCGGUCUGUCGCGUCGGAUGUGAAAAUCCAGGGCUCAACCCUGGACCUGCAUUCGAUACGGGCAGACUAGAGUUCGGUAGGGGAGACUGGAAUUCCUGGUGUAGCGGUGAAAUGCGCAGAUAUCAGGAGGAACACCAGUGGCGAAGGCGACUCUUUGGCCUGUAACUGACGCUGAGGCGCGAAAGCGUGGGGAGCAAACAGG
rnacentral:rRNA from 1 species